rnacentral:rRNA from 1 species
UACGGAGGGUGCAAGCGUUGUUCGGAAUUAUUGGGCGUAAAGCGGGUGCAGGCGGUGAAGUAAGUCAGAUGUGAAAUCCCAGGGCCCAACCCUGGAACUGCAUCCGAUACUGCUUCACUAGAGUCUCGGAGAGGAAAGCGGAAUUCCCGGUGUAGAGGUGAAAUUCGUAGAUAUCGGGAGGAACACCAGUGGCGAAGGCGGCUUUCUGGACGAUGACUGACGCUCAGACCCGAAAGCGUGGGGAGCAAACAGG